rnacentral:tRNA from 1 species
AGCAAAGUGGUGCAGCGGAAGCAUGCUGGGCCCAUAACCCAGAGGUUGAUGGAUCGAAAGCAUCCUCUGCUA